CCUACGGGUGGCAGCAGUGGGGAAUAUUGGGCAAUGGGCGCAAGCCUGACCCAGCAACGCCGCGUGAAGGAAGAAGGCUUUCGGGUUGUAAACUUCUUUUGACAGGGAAGAGCAGAAGACGGUACCUGUCGUAUCAGCCACGGCUAACUACGUGCCAGCAGCCGCGGUAAUACGUAGGUGGCAAGCGGUGUCCGGAUUUCCUGGGUUUAAAGGGCGUGUAGCCGGGCUGGCAAGUCAGAUGUGAAAUACGGGGGCUCAACCCCCGAACUGCAUUUGAAACUGGUGGUCUUGAGUAUCGGAGAGGCAGGCGGAAUGCCUGGUGUAGCGGGGAAAUGCGUAGAGAUCAGGAGGAACACCGAUGGCGAAGGCGGCCUUCUGGACGACAACUGACGGUGAGGCGCGAAAGCGUGGGGAGCAAACAGGAUUAGAUACCCGGGUAGUC
rnacentral:rRNA from 1 species